CCGGCGACCGGCGGCACGGGUGAGUAACACGUAUGAAACCUGACCCGUAGCAGGGGGAUAAGCGGAAGAAAUUCCGUNUAAUACCGCGUAACAACCCAUGGAGGCAUCUCUGUGGGUUUAAAGGAAGCGAUUCCGGCUACGGAUGGUCAUGCGUCGCAUUAGCUUGUUGGCGGGGUAACGGCCCACCAAGGCGACGAUGCGUAGGGGUUCUGAGAGGAAGGCCCCCCACACUGGUACUGAGACACGGACCAGACUCCUACGGAAGGCAGCAG
rnacentral:rRNA from 1 species